rnacentral:rRNA from 1 species
AGAGUUUGAUCAUGGCUCAGAUUGAACGCUGGCGGCAGGCCUAACACAUGCAAGUCGAACGGUAACAGGAAACAGCUUGCUGUUUCGCUGACGAGUGGCGGACGGGGGAGUAAUGUCUGGGAAACUGCCCGAUGGAGGGGGAUAACUACUGGAAACGGUAGCUAAUACCGCAUAACGUCGCAAGACCAAAGAGGGGGACCUUAGGGCCUCUUGCCAUCGGAUGUGCCCAGAUGGGAUUAGCUAGUAGGUGGGGUAAAGGCUCACCUAGGCGACGAUCCCUAGCUGGUCUGAGAGGAUGACCAGCCACACUGGAACUGAGACACGGUCCAGACUCCUACGGGAGGCAGCAGUGGGGAAUAUUGCACAAUGGGCGCAAGCCUGAUGCAGCCAUGCCGCGUGUAUGAAGAAGGCCUUCGGGUUGUAAAGUACUUUCAGCGGGGAGGAAGGGAGUAAAGUUAAUACCUUUGCUCAUUGACGUUACCCGCAGAAGAAGCACCGGCUAACUCCGUGCCAGCAGCCGCGGUAAUACGGAGGGUGCAAGCGUUAAUCGGAAUUACUGGGCGUAAAGCGCACGCAGGCGGUUUGUUAAGUCAGAUGUGAAAUCCCCGGGCUCAACCUGGGAACUGCAUCUGAUACUGGCAAGCUUGAGUCUCGUAGAGGGGGGUAGAAUUCCAGGUGUAGCGGUGAAAUGCGUAGAGAUCUGGAGGAAUACCGGUGGCGAAGGCGGCCCCCUGGACGAAGACUGACGCUCAGGUGCGAAAGCGUGGGGAGCAAACAGGAUUAGAUACCCUGGUAGUCCACGCCGUAAACGAUGUCGACUUGGAGGUUGUGCCCUUGAGGCGUGGCUUCCGGAGCUAACGCGUUAAGUCGACCGCCUGGGGAGUACGGCCGCAAGGUUAAAACUCAAAUGAAUUGACGGGGGCCCGCACAAGCGGUGGAGCAUGUGGUUUAAUUCGAUGCAACGCGAAGAACCUUACCUGGUCUUGACAUCCACGGAAGUUUUCAGAGAUGAGAAUGUGCCUUCGGGAACCGUGAGACAGGUGCUGCAUGGCUGUCGUCAGCUCGUGUUGUGAAAUGUUGGGUUAAGUCCCGCAACGAGCGCAACCCUUAUCCUUUGUUGCCAGCGGUCCGGCCGGGAACUCAAAGGAGACUGCCAGUGAUAAACUGGAGGAAGGUGGGGAUGACGUCAAGUCAUCAUGGCCCUUACGACCAGGGCUACACACGUGCUACAAUGGCGCAUACAAAGAGAAGCGACCUCGCGAGAGCAAGCGGACCUCAUAAAGUGCGUCGUAGUCCGGAUUGGAGUCUGCAACUCGACUCCAUGAAGUCGGAAUCGCUAGUAAUCGUGGAUCAGAAUGCCACGGUGAAUACGUUCCCGGGCCUUGUACACACCGCCCGUCACACCAUGGGAGUGGGUUGCAAAAGAAGUAGGUAGCUUAACCUUCGGGAGGGCGCUUACCACUUUGUGAUUCAUGACUGGGGUGAAGUCGUAACAAGGUAACCGUAGGGGAACCUGCGGUUGGAUCACCU